AGUCAUAUGCUUGUCUCAAAGAUUAAGCCAUGCAUGUCUCAGUACAAGCCAAAUUAAGGUGAAACCGCGAAAGGCUCAUUAAAUCAGUUAUGGUUCCUUAGAUCGUACCAACAAUUACUUGGAUAACUGUGGUAAUUCUAGAGCUAAUACAUGCUAACAGAGCUCUGACCAGAGAUGGGAAGAGUGCUUUUAUUAGAACAAAACCAGUCGGUUGCGGCUUCGGCCGUCACCGUACCUUUUGGCGAUUCUAAAUAACUUUUGCUGAUCGCACGGUCUCGCACCGGCGACGCAUCUUUCAAAUGUCUGCCUUAUCAACUGUCGAUGGUAGGUUCUGCGCCUACCAUGGUUGUAACGGGUAACGGGGAAUCAGGGUUCGAUUCCGGAGAGGGAGCCUGAGAAACGGCUACCACAUCCAAGGAAGGCAGCAGGCGCGCAAAUUACCCACUCCCGGCACGGGGAGGUAGUGACGAAAAAUAACGAUACGGGACUCAUCCGAGGCCCCGUAAUCGGAAUGAGUACACUCUAAAGCCUUUAACAAAGAUCAAUUGGAGGGAAAGUCUGGUGCCAGCAGCCGCGGUAAUACCAGCUCCAAUAGCGUAU
rnacentral:rRNA from 1 species